rnacentral:rRNA from 1 species
UUGGAGGGCAAGUCUGGUGCCAGCAGCCGCGGUAAUUCCAGCUCCAAUAGCGUAUAUUAAAGUUGUUGCAGUUAAAAAGCUCGUAGUUGAAUUUCGGGAUCAAUGUUUCGGUCAUGCCGUUGGUAUGUACUGAUAUUAUUGAUUUCUCACCUUCUAAAGAACCGUAAUGCCAUUAAUUUGGUGUCACGGGGAAUUAGGACUGUUACCUUGAAAAAAUUAGAGUGUUUAAAGCAGGCUCACGCUUGAAUACAUUAGCAUGGAAUAAUGAAAUAGGACAUCCGAUUCUAUUUUGUUGGUUUCUAGGAUCGAUGUAAUGAUUAAUAGGGAUAGUUGGGGGCAUUAGUAUUCAAUUGUCAGAGGUGAAAUUCUUGAAUUUAUUGAAGACUAACUACUGCGAAAGCAUUUGCCAAGGAUGUUUUCAUUAAUCAAGAACGAAAGUUAGGGGAUCGAAGACGAUCAGAUACCGUCGUAGUCUUAACCAUAAACUAUGCCGACUAGGGAUCGGAUGAUGUUAAUUUUUUAAUGACUCAUUCGGCGCCUUACGGGAAAC